CCCCUUUUCUUUCCUCCGCACCGAAACAGUUGCCCGAGUCGCUUCGCUUGAAUCUGUUUUCGUCUGAAGGGGACGGUGCAACAAGCUGCGGGUCUAUUCUGCGAGAUGAUGACAAAUAGUUGAUGGCCUCCAGCAGCAGGUUUCAAACUUCUUUCUUCUUCUUUUCUUUCUGCUGGGACCCAAAGCUCAUUAAAAUAAAUGACACCUGCGGCCGCGCCGGGGACACGGCAGACGUCAUGCCCGGCUUGCGUGAGAAAACUUUUUAAUUCCUUCACAGCCGAGAUCGUAACACAAGAAGUUAAGGGGGAAAAGUUUCACAUUGUAGGAGAUCACAGCGAAUGAGAGCGUGAUACUUCGCGGCUGGAGGACAGUUAGCUUAGCCUAAAGACCGGAACAGCUAGCCCACUUCUAGAGCUCGCUAACCAACACGGUAUAUCUCAUUUGUUCAAUCUACACGAAAACCAAAGUGUGGACACGCCAAAAGCACUUCCACAUGCUGUACUAGAAGUCCAAAGCCUGGUGCCAGAGCGACAGUUCGCCCCUCAGUUUUGGACUCCGGCCCGCUCCAAACCUCCCUGUUUUGGACAAUCCUCACCACGCUUCGCUUUUCAGUGAGAAGAAACACCACAGGUAUGCUGUGCAGCGACACACACACAGACACACACACGCACACACACACACCCAACGCAGACUUACGUCAGCGCGGAGGAACAUGACAGAAACUCGUUGCCGCGGGGAAAGUCACCGUUAAUAAGUAAUAGUCGUUUUCCAAGUCUCUUUAAUGACAAAUUGAUUGUAUGCCAUUAAAUUGCAAUGCAGAGAUGAUGCACCACGUCGACGUGUCUUACUCGUGGUCCCCACACAUCGUCCACAAAACACACACAGACUUUCCAAACCCGCUCACAACUUUUCUCGCAACUUUUUUAAAAAUUUGAUGUGAUUAAUCCGCGCAUCCACUCCCUUGGCCCUGUCUCUUUUGUGUUUAUCGUAG
rnacentral:lncRNA from 1 species